UAUGGCCCUUAACUAUUCCUUUUUGCCAUUGUGGUCUUCUUUUUCUGUCAACUGAUAUGACAGGGCAUUUCCUCACAACUUCCAGAAAUUUAAGCUUCUCUUGGUUUAUGCAAAUAACGUGAUUCUAUUGCACUCGCAUGAAGCUGUUAUGCAGUCCAUGUCGGUCUGUUGUGGAAUGGAUAAAACAUUUCUAGGAUGUGAUUGUGUUGGACUUGGCUGUUAUCCUAUUUGGUCUUUGUGUCAUCAUUUUUUCACUUCUAUAACACUUCCUGCAUGAUCUCCAACUGCCCCUUGGGAAGAUAUUACUGACUGGGAGUCAAUCCUUGCCGGCAAUGAAGUAGAAAACUUCAUCCACAUCCAUUGCAGAAGUUAAUUGAGACUUUGAGUCUGCUUCUGUAGACAGUCGUUUUCUAGCUUGCUGCUAUCUGAGAGCAUGGAGUCAGGCACAAUUUCAUCAUUCCUUGGUGUUUCUAUUGGAUUAGGUAGCUCAACUGGUAAACUGGAUUCGCUGGACUAUUGAACUCGAUUCUUUUCAGAGGGACAAGAAUCAGACACACUUCCUUCACCCUUCUGGUCAGCAGAUGUGUAUAUAUUUGAAAAGAAUAUGAACUUCAUUACAAAUUUUUUGGAUUAACUUUGAUAACAAUGCUACAUUUGAUGGUACACCGAGACAUUGCACUUGUAUAUGAGUUAACCGAAGUCGAUCUCAACUUGGCCAAUACGUGGUUCGUUGGUUGUUUCGCUUGUGGCUUGGAUCGCUGUUGUAUCACGUGGGAUGCUGCCUUUUGCAAACUGUCAUCGGAUUUGCGUUUUGAUCUUAGCAGUUAAUCAACGGAUGCGCAACAUGAAGCGUUGCAGUUUAGUGCAUUGGGAUGCUAUCAUUCCAACUCACCAUAGUAUUGCCAAUCCUGUGCUCAAUAUCACCAAUAACGAUAGCAGGCGAUAACAAGUAAUGCGAUAUUCAUACAGCUAGGUUAACGAUGCAGUGGAUUUACUGAUGUUUGAAUUACCAACAGUGGCUCGGUGUUGUGGCUUCGCUCGCAGCUUUGGAUUCUUUUCACUGAUGUGCCACUGCUUAGUUCUGUGCAUGCUGUUGUUUUGGUUAUUCCACAGGUUAUGCUCAAUGCUGGCUAUGGAAAGCAAAAUGCAUAAACCUUCAGAAGAACAAGCCACACUGCGGAACCUCUGUCUUCUAACGGGAGAGCAAGAGUUCGUGAAAUCCAUGGCAACCGAACUUUAUGCAAAUUGUAAUCCAAAGUAUUGCCAUAGGUCCCUUUCAAUGUCUUAUGACAGUUAUGCAUUGUAGAGAAAUGUAAAUUACUGAAGCGGUAUCGAUGGAACUUAGGAUGUAACUUCAGCUUUGGGUUUUGAAUGCAUUUGAGAAUAGUGGCUUGGAGUCACCUGGUGGAUGUAUUUGGUUUAACACACUGUAAUGAGUUGUUGCAUAGAAUAUGAUGCGUAGGGCCUAUUGAAUGGUUUAGUUUUAAAUUUGUAAUUGAAUUUUGGUUAAUGUAAAUGAGUGGAAUUUUUAUGUGAUUUUGAUAGGAUGGAUGAGUUGUAUGGAAUUUCUGAACAUUGAA